ACGGGUGAGUAAUGUCUGGGAAACUGCCUGAUGGAGGGGGAUAACUACUGGAAACGGUAGCUAAUACCGCAUAACGUCGCAAGACCGAAGAGGGGGACCUUCGGGCCUCUUGCCAUCAGAUGUGCCCAGAUGGGAUUAGCUAGUAGGUGGGGUAACGGCUCACCUAGGCGACGAUCCCUAGCUGGUCUGAGAGGAUGACCAGCCACACUGGAACUGAGACACGGUCCAGGCUCCUACGGGAGGCAGCAGUGGGGAAUAUUGCACAAUGGGCGCAAGCCUGAUGCAGCCAUGCCGCGUGUAUGAAGAAGGCCUUCGGGUUGUAAAGUACUUUCAGCGGGGAGGAAGGUGUUGAGGUUAAUAACCUCAGCAAUUGACGUUACCCGCAGAAGAAGCACCGGCUAACUCCGUGCCAGCAGCCGCGGUAAUACGGAGGGUGCAAGCGUUAAUCGGAAUUACUGGGCGUAAAGCGCACGCAGGCGGUCUGUCAAGUCGGAUGUGAAAUCCCCGGGCUCAACCUGGGAACUGCAUUCGAAACUGGCAGGCUAGAGUCUUGUAGAGGGGGGUAGAAUUCCAGGUGUAG
rnacentral:rRNA from 1 species